rnacentral:ribozyme from 1 species
UCACGUUCACGUCUCUUCUCGUCACGUUCGUUCGUUCGUUCGUUCGUUCGUUUGUUCGGUUCUGUCUUUCCGUUCAUCUCAUUUCUUGCUCUUCGUUGUUGCUUAACUGCUGGAACUGCUGCUGUUACGUCCUGUUUGAUGAUGUUGGUGAUGAUACC